rnacentral:lncRNA from 1 species
CCCAAAGCCAAUGACUGUCUUCUGGUCCUCAGCUGCUCAAAGCAUGACCAAGAGGCCAAUGAAGGGAAUGCUUACUGGCCCAGUCACCAUUCUCAACAUUGUCUUGUCCAAGAGGCCAAUGAAGGGAAUGCUUACCGGCCCUGUCACCAUUCUAAACUGGUCUUUUGUCAGAAAUGACCAGCCAAGGUAACUUUAAUUUAUGCCCUCCUCCUAAUUUGAGUUUUAUACCUUCUUCGAUUAUGUUUGUAAUGUUUACCAUCAUUG